ACAGAUGAUCAGCUAGGUUUUGGUUUAAAAAAAAAAAAAGAAGCCUAUAAAGUAUAUGAUGAUGUGUAGUGAAGUUGAUGACAACAGCAUGCCUGAAACAAAAAACCAGCGUCUAGAUGUUACUGUCUACCAGCAGGCACACUGUGCAAGGCUCUGCCACAGGAUUCCUCCUCAGGGCCCUAGUCAGCCACAGGUGGCCCCAAGCCACCCAGAGAAGUCCUAGGUGGCUGCCCUCGUUUUUGGUGUUCUUUAAAGCAAAAAUCUUAAAGCUCUUAGACUUUGAAUGAUCUUAAGGGUAACUUUUACAGCUCUUAAAUCUUAAUGUUGGCUGAAUGGAUUCCCAAGGAUAACUUUUACAACUACUCUUCAAAAUGUAUUUUCCUAAUUGGAAGGACACUGCUGUUGUAAUAUUACUGACUGAUUUAAGUAAUAACUUCCUUUAGGCAACCUCAUACCCUCAAUUUAUUCUCUCUGUAGAUUUAGUUGUCUAAUAAAAACAAAGUAUGAAUCCUGGCAUCCAGGAAAUCUCAAAGGAUAGCAAAUCUAAAGACAAGAUUUAUACCAUCAAAACAGAGUAAGUGAUGAAGCUGAUGACUGCAUAGGGCAUAACUGAAUCAAGAAGCAAAAUAAGGUCUGUAGAAUACAACGUUAACAGGGGAAAACAUGCUAUUCUCCCCUCAACUACAGACUUGCUGGACUUUAAUUUUUAACCCACAAGGAGCUUAUUUUAUUAAGUAAAACAUGCCACCUGCCACCCACAAUUUCAAAAGGAAAAUAAAGGGGAAAAUCAUAAGAAUGCAAAAAGUUACACAAAUGGACUAAUAUUUUAGACAAUUAAGCAUGGUUUUAUUCUAAACCCAACACUCAAUUAGUGCUACUGCAUUUAGUUGCUUAGUACCAUUUUUUCGUGGAGGAGGGUGAGAAGGAACAUUUUAUAGAGUUCAAAAAGAGUUUCCUACGAGGCAGAUUGCUGCUAAACCCUACAGACUGAGAUUACACACAGUGACCUGGACAACUUUGCUUAGUUAGCACCAGGGCUGUUUUAAUUUCUUCAUCAGUUUGACACAGCUUUUCUUAGUUAAAAAAAAAAAAAUCAAGACUUUCUUUUCUUCAAAGCACCCAAGAUGAUACAUCAACUGCUGCUGGACACCAGUACUAGGAUAUUUGAGGAAAAUACAAGAAGAGAAAACUCUGGCUGGCAAUUCAACAGAAGUUUUUCAAUGAUGCAAGAAGACUUAAGGACAGAGUGAAUUUAAUACACAUACCGUUUAACUUCUUUUGCCGCCUAUAGCGGACAUAGAAUUUUAACUUUCCUAGUUGAUCUAAGCUCAAGGAAUGCAUGAAGAUUCUACGUAUGUGAAUGUUUACUUCAUGCUGAACUGUGGGCUACAGGAAAUUAUCUACUAAAGAGUAGUUACUUAUAGUCGUAGAUAUUUAUAAACCAAGUGCAGCUAGUGCAGUAUUCAAUUACAGCAUCCACCCUCAUAUUUCAGCGUAUGGGCAAAUUACCAGUGGAGUGUCAAGAAUAAAUUCAUUCUGCCCUACUGGCGCUUUAGAUCCGGUUACACAAUCCCGGGGCAGAACUACCUUCGCCUAGCCCUAGAGCAUCAGGUACUAGGCACUGUACUAAGUUAGAGUCAGGACAUUUUAAAGCGGGAGAGAAACUUAUGGGUCGCCUGAGCCAAUUUAGCCAGCCCAUAAUCCCAGGAAUUUGUCACAUCACUUGAGAUCAGAAUUAAAUUAAGUUUGGAUCUCUUUGAAAUCUCUUAGCGCACAAAGUCAGGCUGCUAUCACUACAAGGGGGGUCCGACACUGGUCCAGAAAAACUUGAUGCGGAUCUCGUGUCUCUUCCUCCCACCGUGAGAGGGCCAAAUCGGUCGGGUCUGGCCACGAAACCGGGCGCGAGUUUGGGGGCUCGGCGGGGCCCGGCGGGGGCGGCGAGCGCGCAUCCCCCCGCCCGCCCAGGCGGCGUCGAGGCGCGAGCAGCUCAGCCAGCCUUGCAGAGGGAGCUCUCGGCACCUCUGGGGUCCCUCUGCUCGCAACUGCAGCAGCGCCGCCUGCGCCACUCGGCGGAGACGGAGACCAGCGGCGUCAACGCGCGGACUGGGAGCGACCGCCGAGCACCCAAGCGGCGGUGGAAACUCGCAGGGCGGCCGGAACUUGCCCUCAAGAGUCUCCAGUGCUCCAAACUCGUUUGCAACUAGAAAAAACAACCACCACCUAAAACAUACUGCUUUUCCUCACAUGCUAUGGAUUUUAGGAAAUUGUUGCCUUCUCCCCUGGAGAAAUAACCUACAAACAAAAAGGAAGUAAAACCACACUGUGCAAUCUGCAAAUCCCAGAAGUCAACAGCUUGCAGACACCCCCCAGGGGCAGAGAGAAAACAAGGGUCACAAGAGACGAGACAGCAUAUGUAAGGACAGCAAGCUGGGGACACAACCGCUUUCAAUGCCACUGACCCAGAAAGUAGGUACCCCUUUUUCUCCAGGCACCUGCUGCACCACCUCACAGGGUGCUUUUCGGUCUAUGGUCUGAAGAACUCUUCUCAAAUGACACAAGAGUGUUGCUUUGAAGAGAUGAGCAAAAAAGGAUCAAAUAUGAAUAAAAAACAUGUAAAGUCCAAAGUCAGGGAAGAAACUCACGUGAAAAGGAAACCCAUGUAACCACCACCCUGAUCAAGUUAUAAACACGUCCAGGGCUGCAGAUGACUUCAUCUCCUCUCUCCGUCACUGAUGCCCCCAGAGCCAACCACUACUCAGAGUUCUGUCACCACUCAACCUAGUUUCUCCUGGUUUAGAACAUCACAUAAAUGGAAUCAUACUGUAUUUCUUCUUUUGUGGCUGGUAUCUUUCAUUCAACAUUAUGUCUGUGAGAUGCAUCCACAUGGUUGUGUACAGCAGUUCAUUCUUUAUUGCUGCGCAGUUUCCAGUUGUACGAACAUGUUAAGGUUUGUCCAAUUGUCCUGUUGAUGGGUAUUCAAAUUGUUUCUAGCUCUUCCCUGUUAUGAAUAAAGUUGCUGAGGACAUUCGAGACAUGCACUAUAGUAGACUUCACGGUCAUUUCUCUUGGGUUUAUACCAAAAAGUGAACUUGCUGGCUUGAUGAUCAGGUGUAGUAGUUAUAUAGGAAGUACUAGUUUCCCAAUUUACCUCUUGUUAGGCUGGAGAAAGGAAAAAGAAGGACAUGCAAACAGAACAGAGAAAUGCCAUAGGGGGAGAACAGACCAGACCCCAAAGUCUG